UAUUGCUCAAUGGGAGAAAUCCUGAAGCAGCAACGCCGCGUGGAGGAUGAAGGGUCUAUGACUUGUAAACUCCUGUAAAGAAGGAAAAAAUUCCCAUUAGAUGGGAGAUGAUGGUACUUCUGGAGUAAGCCCCGGCUAACUACGUGCCAGCAGCCGCGGUAAUACGUAGGGGGCAAGCGUUGUCCGGAUUUACUGGGUGUAAAGGGUGCUCAGGCGGAUUUGUAAGUCAGAGGUGAAAUCUUACAGCUUAACUGUGAAACUGCCUUUGAGACUGCAAGCCUAGAGUAUGGAAGAGAGUGAUUGAAUAUCUGGUGUGGCAGUGAAAUGCAUAGAUAUCAGAUAUAACACCAAUGGCGAAGGCAGUCACUUGGUCCAUUACUGACGCAAAAGCACGAAAGCGUGGGUA
rnacentral:rRNA from 1 species